rnacentral:tRNA from 6 species
GGCCCUAUGGUCAAGUGGUUAAGACACCGCCCUUUCACGGCGGUAACCCGGGUUCGAAUCCCGGUAGGGUCACCA